CGGACAGAGCCCUGGCUAGGAUGCGGUCAGCACCUUGGACAGCACCAGCAACUCCCAGCCCUUUGGCAGCUCGUCACCCGUGUCUAGGCUACUGACAUCUCUCCCCCCAGUGACACCCCCGAGGAUCUCAUUUAGCGCACAGAGGUAAUAGUCGGUCUUCUGUGUAAAGAUGACAGACAGGAAAAGUUUGCAGAGCAGCAGAGCCGGGAAACGUAAGAAGAAGCUGUGAGAAGGUGAGGAAGGUGGACGGUUCCGUUUUCCUGGCUGAUCUGGAAGGAAGGAUGACCGGAGAAGCAUGUGCACUAGCAGUCAGAUCAUCGGCAGUCUCCUGGUGCUCUCUGUGCUGGAGAUAGGACUGGGCUUAUCCAGCGUGGCAGUGGGAGCUGUCACCUUCAUCAGGGUCAGGAACAGGACGGAGCCACCGCCGCAGCUGGGAGACUCUUCUCCGGUAUGGAGCGGGGCGUGUUUCCUGAUAUGUGGAGUGUGCGGCAUUUUCUGUGCAAAAAAGAAAUCUGGACUCAUAAUGAUUCUUUUUUCUGCCUGCUGCAUCUGUGGACUCAUUGGAGGCAUCCUGAACAUUCAGUUUCUAAGAGCUCUGUCCAAGAGGUCCUCCUUGCACCUUGCUUCCUUGUCUCUCGCAUGUAUAGGCAUCAGCGGAUGCACCAUCUCCACUUGGCUUACUUGUCGCUUGGCCAGUUAUGAGCAAAGGAGGAUGUUUCUAGAAAGAGAACACUCACUUCAUCACUCUCAUGAAAUGACAGAAAAGAUUUAUCAAUCCCCAAACUAAUUUUAUUGACCACGAAUUACAAUUGGCUGGAUUCCUGAACUGUGUGAAUCUCUUUGGAUUAUUCACAUCUAAAUGCAAAUAUUCAGGAAAACAUUGAAAACAUCAGCAAUGGAGGACCACAGCUUGUUUUUAAUGGACGAGUGUAGAACAAUUUUGUAUGAUGCAUAAUGACCAAUUCAAUUUAUACAAGAAGAAGAGAAGAGUUGUGGAACAAUGUUUCUAAAUUAUCCAACAAUGUAUCCAUAUAUCGCAGCAUAUUGCCAUCCACUAACUGCAACCUACAAGAAGCAUUGGUGUAUAAUACCAAAAAAGACUUGUAACAAGGUUAAACAUGUGUUCUUUCUGGAAAUAGGAGACACUGAAAAUUAUGCACAAAGCUAUUAUUAAGCAUGCUACUUUGGAAAGCACAAGGCUUCUAGAGAUAUAUUUUGAAUCUCUUUCACACCAACAUGUUCACACACAAUACAGCGAGCUGAGUAAGUUUGUGUUUCCUUCACAUUCUGAUCCAACCUCAAGAGAAAGUAGUAUGUACUGUAUGUAUUACGCUGUACCAGCAUAAUUCCAAUUCUUAAAUCAUUUGACAUGCCUUAACGAGUGUGUAAACCCAACAUUUCAUAUUCCUGAUAUGUGCCUGCUGUGCCAUGUAUUUGUAUGCAAAAUGAUCAUGUUCUCUUUGUAUUGUUUCCUUUGUGUGAAAUUCCUGGUGUUUCUGCCAGAACCUCUGCUUUCCUGUUAAACUGACCACACCAAGCAGGAGAACACAUUGUGGUCAGCUCUCUAGCUGUGCUGAGAACUGAGCCUGCUCUCCUCCAAUGAUCAGAACCCCCC